GGGGAGUACGGCCGCAAGGCUAAAACUCAAAGGAAUUGACGGGGGCCCGCACAAGCGGCGGAGCAUGCGGAUUAAUUCGAUGCAACGCGAAGAACCUUACCAAGGCUUGACAUGUUCCUGACCGCCGUAGAGAUACGGUUUCCCCUUUGGGGCAGGUUCACAGGUGGUGCAUGGUUGUCGUCAGCUCGUGUCGUGAGAUGUUGGGUUAAGUCCCGCAACGAGCGCAACCCUCGUUCCAUGUUGCCAGCACGUAGUGGUGGGGACUCAUGGGAGACUGCCGGGGUCAACUCGGAGGAAGGUGGGGACGACGUCAAAUCAUCAUGCCCCUUAUGUCUUGGGCUUCACGCAUGCUACAAUGGCCGGUACAAUGGGUUGCGAUACUGUGAGGUGGAGCUAAUCCCAAAAAGCCGGUCUCAGUUCGGAUUGGGGUCUGCAACUCGACCCCAUGAAGUCGGAGUCGCUAGUAAUCGCAGAUCAGCAACGCUGCGGUGAAUACGUUCCCGGGCCUUGUACACACCGCCCGUCAAGUCACGAAAGUUGGUAACACCCGAAGCCGGUGGCCUAACCC
rnacentral:rRNA from 1 species